rnacentral:rRNA from 1 species
GAUGAACGCUGGCGGCGUGCCUAAUACAUGCAAGUCGAGCGAACAGACGAGGAGCUUGCUCCUCUGACGUUAGCGGCGGACGGGUGAGUAACACGUGGAUAACCUACCUAUAAGACUGGGAUAACUUCGGGAAACCGGAGCUAAUACCGGAUAAUAUAUUGAACCGCAUGGUUCAAUAGUGAAAGACGGUUUUGCUGUCACUUAUAGAUGGAUCCGCGCCGCAUUAGCUAGUUGGUAAGGUAACGGCUUACCAAGGCAACGAUGCGUAGCCGACCUGAGAGGGUGAUCGGCCCCACUGGAACUGAGCCACGGUCCAGACUCCUACGGGAGGCAGCAGUAGGGAAUCUUCCGCAAUGGGCGAAAGCCUGACGGAGCAACGCCGCGUGAGUGAUGAAGGUCUUCGGAUCGUAAAACUCUGUUAUUAGGGAAGAACAAAUGUGUAAGUAACUAUGCACGUCUUGACGGUACCUAAUCAGAAAGCCACGGCUAACUACGU